GGGGAGUUUGCUCAGUGGUAGAGUGCUUGUCUUGCAUGCAUGAGGCCCUGGGUUCGAUUCCUCAGCACCACA
rfam:Dipodomys ordii contig_18075, whole genome shotgun sequence.